rnacentral:rRNA from 1 species
CGAACGGGUGAGUAACGCGUGGGGAAUCUGCCUUUGAGCGGGGGACAACAUUUGGAAACGAAUGCUAAUACCGCAUAAAAACUUUAAACACAAGUUUUAAGUUUGAAAGAUGCAAUUGCAUCACUCAAAGAUGAUCCCGCGUUGUAUUAGCUAGUUGGUGAGGUAAAGGCUCACCAAGGCGAUGAUACAUAGCCGACCUGAGAGGGUGAUCGGCCACAUUGGGACUGAGACACGGUCCAAACUCCUACGGGAGGCAGCAUG